CGGGGCGCACCAGCAGUGGGGAAUAUUGCACAAUGGGCGCAAGCCUGAUGCAGCAACGCCGCGUGAGGGAUGAAGGCCUUCGGGUUGUAAACCUCUUUUAGCAGGGAAGAAGCGAAAGUGACGGUACCUGCAGAAAAAGCACCGGCUAACUACGUGCCAGCAGCCGCGGUAAUACGUAGGGUGCAAGCGUUGUCCGGAAUUAUUGGGCGUAAAGAGCUCGUAGGCGGUUUGUCACGUCUGCUGUGAAAAUCCAAGGCUCAACCUUGGACUUGCAGUGGGUACGGGCAGGCUAGAGUGCGGUAGGGGAGAUGGGAAUUCCUGGUGUAGCGGUGGAAUGCGCAGAUAUCAGGAGGAACACCAAUGGCGAAGGCACAUCUCUGGGCCGUAACUGACGCUGAGGAGCGAAAGCGUGGGGAGCGAACAGGAUUAGAUACCCUCGUAGUC
rnacentral:rRNA from 1 species